CCGGCGACCGGCGGACGGGUGCGUAACGCGUAUGUAACCUACCUUUGACAGGGGGAUAACAUCGAGAAAUUGGUACUAAUACCCCAUAACAUCACCGGAGGCAUCUUCGGUGGUUGAAAACUCAGGUGGUCAGAGAUGGACAUGCGUUGUAUUAGCCAGUUGGUGAGGUAACGGCUCACCAAGGCGACGAUACAUAGGGGGACUGAGAGGUCAACCCCCCACAUUGGUACUGAGACACGGACCAAACUCCUACGGAAGGCAGCAG
rnacentral:rRNA from 1 species